CGAGAAAGUGAAACAAAAGGGUGUCCGGGGGAGAGUAGUCUGAAUUGGGUUAUGGGGCGCUGCCCCACCUCACCCAUUGGACUCAGCGCGCCGGCCGUGAGUCUGUCUCAAAGCACCGCGGGGCCACGAGCAUCCGCCGGGGUCCGCCGAGGAACCGCCGCGGCUUCUCCUGCCCAGGCCGGCCCGCGCGGCGCCCCCCCUUGCUGGUGGCUCACCCACCCGUCGCGGGCGGGGCCCUGCUGGGGCCGCGGGCGGCCCUUCCCUCAGACCUUCCCCGAGGCGGGGCGCGGGUGACGCGCACCCCGUGGGUGGCCUCGGCAGUGAGCUUCCCCCGGACGCUGCUCAGCGCGCUUCCGCCUCUAUAUAAAGGCUCACUUACAUGGCUUCUUCCAAGCUAGGAUGAGGCAAAGCAGUCCCUCUGCUUGUUGGGAGACAGAUGAGGAGCUACACUCCUUGCCUUGCUUCCCAAGACCUUGUGAGAACCCCAGGGUGGACACAGUGCUGGACAAGAGGUGAAGCCCUUGUUGCUCAGGUCCUGACUUGGAGUGCUCUGUGCUCCAGGGCUGCUGCUCCUCUGUAUGGAGUUCCAAACCCCCAAUUCUUCUUACUCUGGAACUUCCAAAGUGCACCUUCCACCUCCCUCAAAUGCCUUUCAGCUCUCCCUGCUGCAGCUGGACCUGCUCCAUCUCUCCUGUCCAGGGGGAAUAAAAUGCUCAACUGUCAGCUCCUGAAUGGCCCGUCGGAGACCAGGGCAAGGAGCAGCCCCUCCUGCAGCUCUGUGUUACACAGCCAUGUUGUAAGCUCAGCUGCAGAUGAGAAGUGCUUUGUUUGUGACUCCUGGGUGCUCUGCUCUUGAUGCAUCUCCCACAGAUGCAGGGCAAACUCCGCUCCUCCCGUCUGGCCUGGCUUGCAAUGAUGGAUUAAGUGGGUCAGAGUAGGAGGAGUCCUGGUAGAAGCAGUGCAUCUGAAGUGAACCUAUGGACAAGUUCACUUGUAUGUAGAAGAGAUUGCCACCCAGGACCUCUGAACUGAGCAAUGACAAGUUGCCCUGUUUUGCCCCAUGAAGAGACAGAAAACUUUGGAAACGUGCCUGAAUCAGACCCUUGCAUUUCUUUGGUGGAAAGAGCUGUUACCUUGUUUUUUAAUGGGGAGAGAAAGAGACAGCCUGGAUGGAGCUGUGAUGUCUCCUACAGGAAGCCAGGAUGGUGGCUGGAAGGAACAGAGAGAGAGCAGAAAGGAGAGAGAGAAAGAGAGAACAGACACUUGGUAGCAGCAAGUGCUGGCUCGUCUGGAAAUGGAGUGAGAAGUGGUCUGAUGGGAGCAGACCACCUACUCAUCCUCAAAACAGAGAGCUGCUGCUGGUGGCAGCAAGGUGGGGAAAUUCCCCUGGCUGUGCCUUGGUGACCAGAUAGGUUUAUUUCCCACAGGAGGUCUCCAAGCAUUUUAAAAGGAAGCUAACAUCACAGAUUGAAAAAUUUCCCUUCUUGAGGCUUCAGUGACUAAGUUUGGAGCCAGCCAGAGGAACCUACUGUUCUCUCUCAGGGGCUGCCUGUGGUGCUGCAUUAACAUCACAUCUCUGUGGUGAAGGUAAGCUGGUUCUCAGUGCUCCCUGAGACACAGACUCAGAGGGAGCCCCAUCUCUCCUCUUCACUCUACCUGGGUGCCCACCACAUGCACAGCCCUCUGAGAAGGAGCUCCCUGGCUGGGAGGGUGAAGGCUUGGAGGUAUUUAUGCCUUUUGGGAUGGGUUUUAUCAGGAAUGGGAUUUGAGCUCCCUGAGAGGGAGGUGACACAGGCUGGCAGCUAGGGAAUUGGUUUGGAACAUCAGAACAAAUGGCUGCUGUAAUUUUGGAGCAUUCCCUUGUUAAGUUACCUCUCAUGUUGCCCUCCUCCAUUUUGAAACUGAGAGGAAAACAUGGCUCCUGAGCAUUUUUCCCCCUAUGAUGCCUUCACCUUUCUUGUAUUCCCUUUUCUCCUACGAUCUCAGCUGGCUGAGUUUCGCUGCCAGCCUAUUGAAAGGAAAGGCACGUGCUGGCUUUUGGAGGGAGAGAGACCUGAGACAGGAUAAAUCUGUAUGCAAUGAGAAUGGGGGGAAGCAAGUCAGCUGCUCUGACACUUUUAUUAUGGAGCCAGGCUGCUUGGGGAUGAAUCUUUUCUUGAAACAUGUUGCUGGAUGACAUUUCUACCAGGUCUCAGCAGUAACCUUCACCAAGCCUUGCUGCCCAGCCCUGUGCUUGCCUUUUCCUGGGACAAAGAGAACGAAUAUCAGCUGGAAAUGCCACAGGCAGCAGGGACCAAUGGGGCUCAAUGUACCUCCAGUGAGUCUGAAAGGACCUGGACUUUCUCACCAGAAGCUCUUCAGGCUUUGCUGACUCCAGCUUAUGGCUGCAUGUGUUGUUUUGCAAAGGAGUUGUGGGCUCCUACAUCUGUUUCUCAUUUCAGAAACAAAGAGGAUGCAGCAGACACCAAAAUGAAAUUCUCUUUGGAGUUGUCCAGAAGGAUGGAUAAGUGCAAGCAAAUAUAAUUCCAUGGCUCUGGAAAAGGAGUAUCCACUUGUUUAGUAACCUGGUAAUGAGGUGCUGGCUGUGCUCCGUGCAGAGGCUGGAAGCCACGGGAGAUUUGGGGUUACAGAGAGGGCUGGGCAGGGUUUGCUGCCCUCUCAGCUCCUUUCCUGUAUCACUGUCAGCUUAGAUUUCACAUCAAGAGCGUGAUGUUAUGUCUGGCGGUGACAACAGCAGAAUGUCACUGGCAGAGGUGAAAUCUUUCCCUCCAUGAGGGUAAUUCUCCCUUCCCUUUCCCCUUCCCCUUGGCUUGUGUUGGGCCCUGCUGGCUCCUGGUGCUGAGCAGGGCAGGCCCUCAUGCUGCUCAGGGACAGCAUCUACUGUGCUGAGCAGCACUUCCUGCUGUCUGGGUCAGUGGCUCCCUGUCUCUGAUGCCUCUUGGCUGCAGGGUGACCUGGGACAGAGGGAAAACCCUCGUCAGUCACUGCCUGAAACAAACCGGAGCCGUUGGAAGCUGCAAUGUUUGCCUUCAUGGCAGCACUGCACAGAGUGGUCCUCUGCCAUGCUGGCAGGCUUGUACCAGCAGGAGGUCUGCCACGGAUGUUCUUUCAGAGCCCUGGGGGCCCCUGUGCUCUUUAGGGCCAGGCCUAAUCUAGGUCUGGCUCUGAGGGGCAGCCUUUCAUGUUAAUGGUUCAUGUUCUCUGCAGGCUGCCUCUCACCUCCUCUGAGCAGGAGCUGAUCCUGUAGAAAGGUGCCUGUGCCUACCUGCUCCAGCUGCCCUCUGCCAGCAUCUGUCCCCAAGGGCCAGUGCAGCAAAGCCUUGGUGUUGUUCUGGGCCCAGUUUUCAUUUUUCAGCUGGUUAUGGAGAAAAGGAUGAAGGUACCUGCUGCUGCCAGGCCACAGUGGAAAACAGAGGAAGGGGACUGGCCUCUUAGUGUGCUUAAAGAUCCAAAAGUUUAAUCUGACUCUGCUUCUCUCUCAGCCCUGAUCCUGUUGUAUCUUUUCCAUCUGAUGCCUGAGCCUUUUUCUGUUUUGCUAUUUUUUUCUUGUUCCCUUUUUCCCCUCGCUUUAUGAAAAAUGGCUUUCCCAUCUGCAUCUGUCAGGAGUCUGCCUGAGCUGGGUGUAUGGCUCAGUGAAUAUACAAAUGUGUGGUUGGGUCAUGGCUCCCCUGACAGGCCCAAGAUGAAUUCCAAACGUGCAGGGAGAAGGGCUUCUGCUGCCUCUCAUGGUUGUUUUUGUUAUCCCAAGGAGGUGUGAGAAUUGCCUUUGGGAGCAGUGCUUCCUUCUGCUCCUGCUCUGCCUUACCAAGGAUCAGUUCUCUCUCAUCCAUCAUCAGAUGAGUCCUCCUUGCUCCCACAUCUCAGUUGCUGAUGGAAAUGCCGGGGAAAGGGAAAACUUUUUCAUCCUGCUUUUUACUACUAUUCUUUUUCCUCUGCCUUUUGCAUCCCACCUGUUAGUUCCAUGAUGAUGCCUUUGGCAGGCUGGGGCUUGAGGACACUUGCCGGUCCAAGUACUUUUAAAGAGAGUAAAGGAUGAGGUAGAGGGAAGGGCAUUGUUUUGUAGAAUUAUAGAAUAUCCUGAGUUGGAAUCCACAAGGAUCAUCGAGUCUAACUCCUGACCUUGCGCAGGACACCCCAACAAUCCCACCAUGUGUCUGAGAGCAUUGUCCAAGCACUCCUUGAGCUCUGGCGGGCUUGUGGCUAUGACCACUGCCCUGGGGAGCCUGUUCCAGUGCCCAAUCACCCUCUGAGUGAGGUACAUUUUCCUAAUACCCACCCUAAACCUCCCCUGACACAGCUUCUCGCUGUUCCUUUGGGUCCUGUUGCUGGUCACCAGUUUGACCUAAGGGGCUUAAAGUGCAGCUUUGGAAUUUUUUCAGCAGUGGUGCACGACUCCACAUAAGAUGCCCUGAAAGCACCCAGAUGCUCCUGCACAUUUCAGCCUCUCUGUGUCCCCUUUCCCUGCUGCAGGUGACCAGCACCGUGGGGCUCUGCAAGGAGGAGUUCACCGUCUAUGCUGCAGGGUCUCUCAGGUGCCCAAAGGGACUUGACAGCCUGCCCUGACACCCCUGGGUUUGCUGAGCUGCUCCUGCCUCUUGGCUUUGUGCAGGCUGAUGGAUGUUCAGUGGGGACCCACGAAAACCAUCUCGCUCCAGGCUGCAAGCCCACCAAACCAAAGUGUUGUGCUGACGUGGAAAAAAACAUCGCUCCGUUGAUGCUCAGCCUGGAUUGCUUCUUCCAUUCGACUCAGGACACAGCAACAGCCUCCUCCUGCCACCAGCUCCCACGAGGAGCCAGCUGCACACCUGCAACCAGGCGAGGAGGGAGCAGGAGCUGUUGAGCCACGAGGAAGGCGACCGAUGGCAGAUUCCUGCAGCAUUUCCACCCCGCGGGGCUCUUGGCGAGAGUCUGCUUUGAAAGCUCUUAGUGCUCCUGCAGGAGCCUUUCUGAGAGUGUUGCUCCCAACACCACUGCCAAGUCUCAGGAGAGAAGGAAUCUCUUUUCAGCAGUUUCGUGGGCUUUGGAAGAGCCCCCUGAUCUAUGGCCAAUGAGGAGAUGUCCUGAAUGGAGCAAGCCUGAUCCAAACAACACUCUCCUCCCAGCAGCCUCCUGGGAUUUAUAGGAUUUCACAUCCCUGGACACUAUUUGGGGUGGUUUAUGUGCCACAUUUUUUUACCGUUAUGUUGGUCAAACAGCCAUAGAAAGUAGCUUGGGAAAACAAGGUGGGAGAUAAAUCCUUGUGGCGUGGGCUCUCCCAGCGAUAAAAUGGGCUACAGGUGGAGAAAUAGGCCCUUGAGACCCUUUAUUUCCUUCAAUUCCCAUCUUCCUGAGUGGAUCAAUACCACCAGGGGCAAGGAAAGGGUGAGGAGCCAUUGCAGGGAAUCACUUUAAGGGAAAAAGCUGGAAGGUGGUAACUGAUGUAGCAACCACUGCUGAUUUUUGAGGCAGAUGGGCUGUGAGGGUUUGUGUAUCCCAUGAGGGUUUGUGUACAGAGAAGAGGAUGCCUGUAGGCUGGGAGAGCACUUUUAAAAAUAAUUUGACUGAUUUUUCUCCUUCUUUCUUCCCAUCCAGUCAGUCUCCACUCCUGGCAUAUGCAGUAGGAGCAAAAUGUCUCCCUUGCAGAUUUUUGGGGGAUUUUAUUCCACCCUACAGGAAAACUCCUCCGAAUUUCAUCCCAUCGCCCCACCCAAUUCUGCCCACCUCAACCCUUGGUCCAGGAGCACAGCGCAGAGGUCCUGUGGAAGCAGGACCUGGGGUCUCCUGGGGACAGCUCUGAGGGUCCCAGGGGAGCUCUGUGGCAGGCAGGGGUCAGGGUCCAGUGGAUGAGGUAAAUCCCCCAGCCAGGCUCCUGGCUGUGGGUCAGCUGUGUCCCUGGCUCCAGCACGGAUGAUUUACAUGGGCUGUGGGGACACCCCAGGGCAGGGCACCCGUAUUUAAUGGGUGAGGAUAUUGCUGCUGGCAGCUGCAGCUCCCAGCCAAGAGCUCAGGGAGGAGAAAGCAAUUUGCCAUCGUCAUCCCUGGUCCUCUGCCAAUUUUUCCACUUGCAGAAUGGGGUGCAGCGAAGAGACUUUAUUUGAUGGUGCCUGAAGAGGUCUCCAGGUUCUCCUGAAGAGCUGGGAGUGACUGAGGGCUCUCAAGGAGGCCAAGGGCUGGUGCAGGCACUGGGGUUGGGUGGCUGAGGUUAUGCUUUUUGAUCUUUGCUUAAGGAGGAGUUGGUGGGGAGGGAAGAAGGGAGCUGAGGAACUGGGACUGGAGCUUCCUGAGGUCCCCCCCCAGCUGGAGUCAUCCCAGGUUCUCAUUGAGCUCCUAGUGGGGACACAGAAGAGUGGAUGGGACAUCUCCUGCAUGCCUGGGCUUGCAGAAACCUCCCUGUUGCCUGCUCUGUGCUGAUUCUCCUGCCUCCUUCAGAGACUGAGGCUGGAGGCUGAGGAGGAGGAAGAGGGAGGAAGAAGCUGAGGUCACCACCAUUUCAGGAGGUUGUUAAUUUUCCCCUCAUUCUCCUUUAGAAGUGGCCAUUCACCACAGACCCUGUAAAUCCUCUCUGGGGAGAAAACACCAGGGAGCAUGGCAUGGGGGGAUGAGAACCCUUGGUGGCUUUGAAAGAGAUGGCAGAGAGGAAAAACAGCCCCCCCAAUGGCAAAGGGGAGAAAGAGACUUAGAGAAAGAAGCUGAAAAUGUGCUGAAGCAGCUGAUGACAGCCCAAACUGCAGGAGAAGGCUCCUGCCUGCCAAUUAACGAGCCUCUGGUGCUAAUUUGCCACCUUGACUGCACUUCUGAGCUUGUCAGAAGGGGGAGGAAAAACAAAAAGAUGAGGCUAAAAAAGAGCUGGCGAGGUUUUGGUUUGCCUCUUGGCUAUGCAGAUGUCGCUGGGCUUCAGAGAGCAGGGGAAACAGAGGGACUGGUGGCAAACCCCACCAAUCCACAAGCCUGGCGUGUGAAGAGACUGAUGACAAGUUUCCAUGGGCUUGUGUUGGCAGAGCAGCCCUAGGCCAUGGUGCUGCCCAACUUAGGAGUGCCAAUUUCCCGGGGAUCACAUCCCACCAUCUGCUGGGUCAGUGGGGAGAGUGAGAGGUGUGCCCAUGUGUGCCCAGGAGCAUCUCUGGUACCUCUGGUGAGUGAUUUAUGAGGAAGGAGCCAGGGCAGCCCUGUGCUGGGGCAGAGAGGGCCACGGGCAGCUUGGCAUCUCGCGCCUCCCCCAGCAGCGCCGUCAAACACAGAGCAGACCUGCUGGCAGCUGCCUGGUGUGGCUAACAGAGCUGCAGGAGCCCUGGGCAAAAUGCUCAGCGUGAAGCUUCCUGCCAAGCCAAACGUCUGAUUCCCUCUUCUUGCCCACCCCGCAGCCCAAACCCAGAGACCACAGGGAUGGAUUAAAAGCAACAUCUGCACCAGUGUGCUGCUUGCAUGCAAAGCAGAAGAGCUCCUGCCAGGGAAGCGUGUUGCCUGGAACUCUCCCAGCCCUCCCUCCUCCCCUGGGAUGUUUUCUUUCCUAUGCAUCCACAUUCUUCUCCCAGGCUGACGCAGUGUUAGCUGGGAGCCACAAGGGGUAAACUGAGGCAGGCUGGAGCAAGCAUGCAGACUGAGGCUCACAGCCUCUCUCCAUGCUGGCUCUUCGUGGCAAAGCUGUCCUUGCUGCUUGGGCCCAGCCUGAUGCAGAGAUGCCCUUGGGCCACCGCCUCGUGGCACACAGGGCCGGAGGCCCAGACAGUGCUGCGGGAUAAGGGUGAAGACAGGAGGGGGAAAGGGUGUAGGUUACCAAGGGGGAGCUGUGGGCUCUUUGCUCAGGUGCAGCCCAUCACUGGCUGUCUCAGGGUGGCAGAUGGAAUUAGGACCAGCCCCAGCCAGGGGGCUGUGAGCUCUCUCUGCCCUGGGAGAGCUGUGCAGGUAACCCCAUCCUGCUGCCUGGGCUGGGGGUGAAACAUCCUGGCCCUUCCCUGGCCUCCUUUUCCCUGGCAGAGCUGCUGAACAAACGUGUCUGGAGGGAACCGGAGUGUCUGCAGUCAAGCAAGCGAAGAGCUCAGCUUGUUAUUUAAAGGCCAUUUUCUGGCUUCCAUACUGCAGGGAAUCUCGUAGAAACACAGAGCCUAGAAAGGGACAACCCCAAACACACCAGUUGUUAAAGCCUAAUGGGUUUGGUGCUGAAUUCCUGGUUCAGGCUGGCUGUCUCCAUCCUGCUGGUGUUGUGCAGCAGCAGCUCUCCAGCCAGCCCUGCUGCCAUCAGCACUGUUCUGUGCAGGGGAAAGCACUGCAAGGGAAUCAAAUGCUGACCUCCAGUAAUUAACCUCGUCCUUUUAAUCACCUCCACUGAGUGCCUUAAUUGCUGGGCAGGGAUGGGAGGACCUGGCUGCUUCCACCUGAGAUUCCCACGCAGCCUGGCACUCCCCUCCCAGGGCAUGCUGCUGCUGCUGCUGCUCUUCCUUUAACUCACACACAUCCCCAAAAAUGGGGGGAGCAUGUCUCUCCCAAAAUACAGCAAUUUAGCAGCCAAAUUUAAGGAACCAACUCUGUCUGUUUCUCUGAAUUAAAGAGGGGGUGCGGCCCCUCUUUAAUGGUGUUGGGGGUGGGUCACCAAGGCCUUGUCUGCCUGUCCCUGUGCUUCCCAAUGGGAAGUGCUUUUUGGUGGGACAGGACUCUGGCAGCUGCCAGCCCUGGAAUGCCAUGCACAGCCUCAUUCCUAAUGGGAAUUGGCAAUUUGGGCCAAACUCAGUGCUUUUGGGCAACAGAUUAUGGAUAUUGCUGGGGGGCUGUGGGAAGAGGAGAGUGCAGCCCCAGGGGCAGCUGCUGAGGAUGCAAAGAGCUGAUGGCUCAUCCUUCCAGCUGCCUGCCUCCCCUUACUCCCCGCUUUUUAUUUUUUGCACCUAAUUAAAAGUAAAUGGCCUUCAUCCACCUCCCUCCUCACACAUGGGCAUCACCUGGCUCCAUCUGGAGCCUGCACAAAGCCAGAGAAGUCCAGGGUCCAUCCCUUGAUGGGUACCUUGAGGUGCUGCCAGUCAUCUAACAGCUCUUGCUUUCAUAUUCAGGUGGGUUAAGGAUGUGGGACUGGUUAAGGGCACCAAAAACCAUGGUAGGAAAUGCUCUGUCUGGAUGGAGUUGAGGAUGUUAGCCUGACACAUGGCCCACAUGAUGAUGGGGAGAACCCCAGAAUGGUUUGGGUUAGAAGACACCUUAAAUCUCAUCUCGUUCUAACCUUCCAUAGGCAGGGACACCUUCCAGUAAGACCCAAGCCUCAUCCAACCUGGCCUUGGACACUUCCAGGGAUGGGGCAGCCACAGCUGCUCUGGACAACCAAGAAGCGAUGGAAUAAUUAUAGCAGAAGCCAAAAUAACUUCUCUAGCUGGGAAUCCUCCUGGCAGCCCUGCCUGCUCAGGAGCACUGCUGGCCUUCAUGCCUAUGUCCUCCCCAUCCCCAGGCUGGUGUCUGCCAGCUUUGCCUAGAGAGCCCAGAGGAUGGCUUUGACUUUUCAUUUCCUCUGGUGUGUUUAAUUGCCUGAUUUUUUUUUCCCUUUAGGACUGGGAGGAAGAGAGGAAAGGUGGGCAAAGGAAGACAGAUGUGUGGAAAAUAGAAGUCUAGGUGACAGAUUGAGGGCUGCUAUAACCACAAUAGCCAGCCUGAUGGAUUGAUAGAUUAGACAGGGAAUAUAAAUAGCAAGUAUGGUUUAUCUAUCCCUGUUUUAUUUUCCUCUUGUCUGUCUCUUUAUCUCUCCUGGUGUUAUUUUCCUCCCGCUUAUCUCUUUAUCUGCCCAGCCCGGGGAUGGGGGAGAGGCGGGUGACAGAAGCAGGAUGGAUGAGUUCAGGUUUCCACUGCCUUUGCAGCAUCCAAGCAGACAAGUUUUGCCAGCUGUGGAGUAUUAGAAGGCGGCCUCGGAUCUGCACACUGAUUCACUUUUCCCACCCCUCUCCUUUGCCUGCACCAUCCCCUCUGUCUGCACGCUCUCCCUCGGGGAUCCCUGCGGUCAGGGGGCUGGCUCCUUCCUCUCUCUGCCUCAUCCUUGGCCAAAGAAUGAGGGCAGGCACUGGAGCAGUGAGCUCUGCUCGUCUGGGUACCUGGCAUUCCCAUCUGACAGCCGGGCAGCUCCACUGCUUGAUAUUCCAGUCAGGCACCCGGUACAGCAGCGGCAGC